CGUUGCCUUAUAAGCCGUUCCCUCCAUUCGUUCCUUGCGGGAAGCGACGUCCAAAGCAAUCGAAGCCUCGUGGUUUUUGGCGUGGCCUGUUUGGCUGUAUCGCGCCGUUCCCUCCGUUCGUUCCUGGCGGAGCGACGUCCAAAGACCUACAGAAGGGCUCUUUAUGUCCCUCUGUCCGGUGGUGGUCGCAAGCGAGGCCUGCACCGUUAUUGCCAUCACCAUAGUCUGAAGACCUACAGCAGGGCUCUGCCUGGCUCUGCGUCCCUCUGUCCAGUGGUGGUCGCAAGCGAGGCCUGC